rnacentral:hammerhead_ribozyme from 1 species
GCACUACUGAAGAGUUGCAUAAUAAGCCGAAACAGCUGUCCAGUAC